UCGAACGAUGAUCUCCUGCUUGCUGGGGGGAUUAGUGGCGAACGGGUGAGUAACACGUGAGUAACCUGCCCUUGACUCUGGGAUAAGCCUGGGAAACUGGGUCUAAUACUGGAUACGACCUUCCCACGCAUGUGGUGUUGGUGGAAAGCUUUUGUGGUUUUGGAUGGACUCGCGGCCUAUCAGCUUGUUGGUGGGGUAAUGGCCUACCAAGGCGACGACGGGUAGCCGGCCUGAGAGGGUGGACGGCCACACUGGGACUGAGACACGGCCCAGACUCCUACGGGAGGCAGCAGUGGGGAAUAUUGCACAAUGGGCGCAAGCCUGAUGCAGCGACGCCGCGUGAGGGAUGAAGGCCUUCGGGUUGUAAACCUCUUUCAGUAGGGAAGAAGCGAAAGUGACGGUACCUGCAGAAGAAGCGCCGGCUAACUACGUGCCAGCAGCCGCGGUAAUACGUAGGGCGCAAGCGUUAUCCGGAAUUAUUGGGCGUAAAGAGCUCGUAGGCGGUUUGUCGCGUCUGCCGUGAAAGUCCGGGGCUUAACUCCGGAUCUGCGGUGGGUACGGGCAGACUUGAGUGAUGUAGGGGAGACUGGAAUUCCUGGUGUAGCGGUGAAAUGCGCAGAUAUCAGGAGGAACACCGAUGGCGAAGGCAGGUCUCUGGGCAUUAACUGACGCUGAGGAGCGAAAGCAUGGGGAGCGAACAGGAUUAGAUACCCUGGUAGUCCAUGCCGUAAACGUUGGGCACUA
rnacentral:rRNA from 1 species